rnacentral:rRNA from 1 species
GGGUUGUGAGGUUAAGCGACUAAGCGUACACGGUGGAUGCCCUGGCAGUCAGAGGCGAUGAAGGACGUGCUAAUCUGCGAAAAGCGUCGGUAAGGUGAUAUGAACCGUUAUAACCGGCGAUGUCCGAAUGGGGAAACCCAGUGUGAUUCGUCACACUAUCGUUAACUGAAUACAUAGGUUAACGAGGCGAACCGGGGGAACUGAAACAUCUAAGUACCCCGAGGAAAAGAAAUCAACCGAGAUUCCCCCAGUAGCGGCGAGCGAACGGGGAGCAGCCCAGAGUCUGAAUCAGCUUGUGUGUUAGUGGAACGGUCUGGAAAGUCCGACGGUACAGGGUGAUAGUCCCGUACACCAAAAUGCACAGGUUGUGAACUCGAAGAGUAGGGCGGGACACGUGGUAUCCUGUCUGAAUAUGGGGGGACCAUCCUCCAAGGCUAAAUACUCCUGACUGACCGAUAGUGAACCAGUACCGUGAGGGAAAGGCGAAAAGAACCCCGGCGAGGGGAGUGAAAAAGAACCUGAAACCGUGUACGUACAAGCAGUGGGAGCACCUUCGGGUGUGACUGCGUACCUUUUGUAUAAUGGGUCAGCGACUUAUAUUCUGUAGCAAGGUUAACCGUAUAGGGGAGCCGCAGGGAAACCGAGUCUUAACUGGGCGUUAAGUUGCAGGGUAUAGACCCGAAACCCGGUGAUCUAGCCAUGGGCAGGUUGAAGGUUGGGUAACACUAACUGGAGGACCGAACCGACUAAUGUUGAAAAAUUAGCGGAUGACUUGUGGCUGGGGGUGAAAGGCCAAUCAAACCGGGAGAUAGCUGGUUCUCCCCGAAAGCUAUUUAGGUAGCGCCUCGUGAACUCAUCUUCGGGGGUAGAGCACUGUUUCGGCUAGGGGGUCAUCCCGACUUACCAACCCGAUGCAAACUACGAAUACCGAAGAAUGUUAUCACGGGAGACACACGGCGGGUGCUAACGUCCGUCGUGAAGAGGGAAACAACCCAGACCGCCAGCUAAGGUCCCAAAGUCAUGGUUAAGUGGGAAACGAUGUGGGAAGGCACAGACAGCCAGGAUGUUGGCUUAGAAGCAGCCAUCAUUUAAAGAAAGCGUAAUAGCUCACUGGUCGAGUCGGCCUGCGCGGAAGAUGUAACGGGGCUAAACCAUGCACCGAAGCUGCGGCAGCGACACUAUGUGUUGUUGGGUAGGGGAGCGUUCUGUAAGCCUGCGAAGGUGACCUGUGAGGGUUGCUGGAGGUAUCAGAAGUGCGAAUGCUGACAUAAGUAACGAUAAAGCGGGUGAAAAGCCCGCUCGCCGGAAGACCAAGGGUUCCUGUCCAACGUUAAUCGGGGCAGGGUGAGUCGACCCCUAAGGCGAGGCCGAAAGGCGUAGUCGAUGGGAAACAGGUUAAUAUUCCUGUACUUGGUGUUACUGCGAAGGGGGGACGGAGAAGGCUAUGUUAGCCGGGCGACGGUUGUCCCGGUUUAAGCAUGUAGGCUGGUUGUCCAGGCAAAUCCGGAUAAUCAAGGCUGAGGUGUGAUGACGAGGCACUACGGUGCUGAAGUAACAAAUGCCCUGCUUCCAGGAAAAGCCUCUAAGCAUCAGGUAACAUCAAAUCGUACCCCAAACCGACACAGGUGGUCAGGUAGAGAAUACCAAGGCGCUUGAGAGAACUCGGGUGAAGGAACUAGGCAAAAUGGUGCCGUAACUUCGGGAGAAGGCACGCUGGUGUGUAGGUGAAGUCCCUGCGGAUGGAGCUGAGACCAGUCGAAGAUACCAGCUGGCUGCAACUGUUUAUUAAAAACACAGCACUGUGCAAACACGAAAGUGGACGUAUACGGUGUGACGCCUGCCCGGUGCCGGAAGGUUAAUUGAUGGGGUUAUCCGUAAGGAGAAGCUCUUGAUCGAAGCCCCGGUAAACGGCGGCCGUAACUAUAACGGUCCUAAGGUAGCGAAAUUCCUUGUCGGGUAAGUUCCGACCUGCACGAAUGGCGUAAUGAUGGCCAGGCUGUCUCCACCCGAGACUCAGUGAAAUUGAACUCGCUGUGAAGAUGCAGUGUACCCGCGGCAAGACGGAAAGACCCCGUGAACCUUUACUAUAGCUUGACACUGAACAUUGAGCCUUGAUGUGUAGGAUAGGUGGGAGGCUUUGAAGCGUGGACGCCAGUCUGCGUGGAGCCAACCUUGAAAUACCACCCUUUAAUGUUUGAUGUUCUAACGUUGGCCCCUGACCGGGGUUGCGGACAGUGUCUGGUGGGUAGUUUGACUGGGGCGGUCUCCUCCCAAAGCGUAACGGAGGAGCACGAAGGUUAGCUAAUCCUGGUCGGACAUCAGGAGGUUAGUGCAAUGGCAUAAGCUAGCUUGACUGCGAGCGUGACGGCGCGAGCAGGUGCGAAAGCAGGUCAUAGUGAUCCGGUGGUUCUGAAUGGAAGGGCCAUCGCUCAACGGAUAAAAGGUACUCCGGGGAUAACAGGCUGAUACCGCCCAAGAGUUCAUAUCGACGGCGGUGUUUGGCACCUCGAUGUCGGCUCAUCACAUCCUGGGGCUGAAGUAGGUCCCAAGGGUAUGGCUGUUCGCCAUUUAAAGUGGUACGCGAGCUGGGUUUAGAACGUCGUGAGACAGUUCGGUCCCUAUCUGCCGUGGGCGCUGGAGAAUUGAGGGGGGCUGCUCCUAGUACGAGAGGACCGGAGUGGACGCAUCACUGGUGUUCGGGUUGUCAUGCCAAUGGCACUGCCCGGUAGCUAAAUGCGGAAGAGAUAAGUGCUGAAAGCAUCUAAGCACGAAACUUGCCCCGAGAUGAGUUCUCCCUGAGACUUUAAGUCUCCUGAAGGAACGUUGAAGACGACGACGUUGAUAGGCCGGGUGUGUAAGCGCAGCGAUGCGUUGAGCUAACCGGUACUAAUGAACCGUGAGGCUUAACCUUACAACGCCGAAG